AUUGAACGCUGGCGGCAGGCUUAACACAUGCAAGUCGAGCGGAGAUGAGGUGCUUGCACCUUAUCUUAGCGGCGGACGGGUGAGUAAUGCUUAGGAAUCUGCCUAUUAGUGGGGGACAACAUUCCGAAAGGAAUGCUAAUACCGCAUACGCCCUACGGGGGAAAGCAGGGGAUCUUCGGACCUUGCGCUAAUAGAUGAGCCUAAGUCGGAUUAGCUAGUUGGGGGGGUAAAGGCCUACCAAGGCGACGAUCUGUAGCGGGUCUGAGAGGAUGAUCCGCCACACUGGGACUGAGACACGGCCCAGACUCCUACGGGAGGCAGCAGUGGGGAAUAUUGGACAAUGGGCGGAAGCCUGAUCCAGCCAUGCCGCGUGUGUGAAGAAGGCCUUUUGGUUGUAAAGCACUUUAAGCGAGGAGGAGGCUACCUGGAUUAAUACUCUAGGAUAGUGGACGCUACUCGCAGAAUAAGCACCGGCUAACUCUGUGCCAGCCGCCGCAGUAACAC
rnacentral:rRNA from 1 species